CCUGUUGAUGACACUGAUUUUAUUACAUAUUUGUUGAAUGGUCUUGAUUCUGAUUAUGACUCUAUUGUUUCCUUUAUAACCACACGAGCUCUUACUUUAACC